CCAUGAUUGGCUACAAUGGCCGCCCACCGACCGACGCGCGUGCAUUCUGGGUAGUACGGUCACCUAGCAACGGCCUAGACGCACUUGGAGUAAUGCUGGUCGCCUCCUUAAGGGAAGGACUUGAAGUAUUAGAGAGGCCGCAGAGAAGGUUUACCGGAGCGCUGCCUGGAUGAGGAAACGAGUUAGAGCUUCUCUCUUUGGAGCGAAAGAGGCACGGAGAGAAUAGGCAGCCAGGUACUUUUUUCCCAGGGUGGAAAUGGCUAAUACGAGGGUGCGUGAUUUUAUAGUGAUUGGAGGUAGGUACAGUGUCAGAGGUAGUUCUGUUUUGCACAGAGUGGCGGGUGCGUGGAACGUGCUGCCAGUGGUAGAGGCAAAUACAUUAGGGACAUUUAGGAAACUGUUAUACAGGCACGUGGAUGAAUGAAAAAAUGGAGGAGUGUACAGGAGGGAAGGGGCAGGUGAAUCUUAGAAUGGGUCGGCAAACAUCAUGGGCUGAUGGGCCUGUACCGUGCUUUAAUACUAUAUUAGGGAGCAUAGUGGUUAGCACCACGUUUUACAGUACCAGCAACCCAGGUUCAGUUCCCGCCACUGCCUUUAAGAAGUUAGUACAUUCUCCCCGUGACCACGUGGGUUUUCUCUCACAGUCCAAGGACCUACUGAUUGUAAAUUGUCCCGUGAUGAGGCUAGGGUUGAAUCGGGGAAUUGCUGGGCGGCUUAAAGGGCUGGAAGGUCCAGUUUCACGCUGUAUCUCAAUAAGUAAAUAAAUCUUCUAACAAGAACUGGCCUCCCUGUCAAUCCAUUGCAACAGGAAGAACAUCUGACCUCUUUAUUCAUUACAACAAUUGUGCUCUUCCCCCCCCCCACCCCCUUUCUGUUCAACACACCGACCGGUGCAGCAGAUAUUGUGUACAGUUCUGAUCACCGAAUUAUAGGGAAGAUGUCAACAAAAUAGAGAGAGUACAGAGGAUAUUUACUAGAACCUUACCUGGGUUUCAGCACCUAUAAUAGGCAUCCAUUAGUCUCGUGAGACCAUGGAUUUGCGCCUUGGAAGAAGGACGCCAACGUCACUUGGAAGGUUUUUCCAGGGCACAGGCCUGGGCAGGGUUGUAUGAGAGACCAGCAGUUGCCCAAGCUGCAAGCUUUCCCUUCUCCACACCACCAAUGUGUCCAAGGGAAGGUGGGCACUGGGACCCAAGCAGCUUGGCACCGGUGUUGUCACAGAGCAAUGUGUUGUUAGGUGUCUUGCUCAAGGAUCCAAACACACUGCCUCAGUUGAGGCUCGAACCAGUGACCUUCAGGUUACUAGUCCAAUGCCUUAUCCACCAAGCCAUGUGCCAAUAAAGAUACGGAGAAGGUUGUGGGAGGACUUGAUAGAGGUAUUUAAAAUUAUGAGGAGGAUAGAUAGAGUUGACGUGGAUAGGCUUUUUCCAUUGAGAGUAGGGGAGAUUCAAACAAGAGGACAUGAGUUGAGAGUUAAGGGGCAAAAAUUUAGGGGUAACACAAGGGGGAACUUCUUUACUCAGAGAGUGGUAGCUAUGAGGAAUGAGCUUCCAGCAGAAGUGGUAGAGGCAGGUUUGAUUUUGUCAUUUUAAAAAAAGCUGGAUAGAUAUAUGGACAGGGAAGAAAUGGAGGGUUAUGGGCUGAGUGCAGGUUGGUGGGACUAGGUGAGAGUAAACGUUCGGCACGGACUAUACGGGCCGAGAUGUCCUGUUUCCAUGCUGUAAUUGUUAUAUAAUCUAGAGGGGAGGGGUGAAGAUGGGUAAUGGGGAGAUUGGAGGUGGCGGGUGUCUGGGGAUGGUUUGAAAGGGGAGAAACCACCAGAGGGAGUGCUCAUCUGAAAGUGGAAAACUCUGUUCAAGCAAUCGGGUUUGGUCUACCAAGACAGAAGAUGAGGCACUGGGCUGCACUCAGGCAGUGGAGGGUGUGGAUGGACAGUACAGUAUGGGAAAGGGAAGGGGGAUUGAAAUGGCAUGCAGCUGUGAGUUUGGUAUGGCCACUAUGGACAGAACAUCAGUGCUCAGUGAAACGAUUGCCCAUUGAUCUUGGCAGUGCAGAGGAGGCCACAUCAGGAGCACCAAAUACAGUCGACACGUUUGCUGGAGGUCAGCAAAGUCCAAAGGUCGAAGUUCAGUGUUCAGCGAAUCUGCAACAUGAAGCCUGAAGGUCACAGGCCCUGGAUCAGCGUGUUCAGGGGUUUGAGAUCUGCAAGUCCAGGCCAGGGACUAGAGGUUGGUGGCUCGAUAUCUUCCAGUCUGAAAGUCCAUAGCCAAGGACUGGUGGUCUGAGAGCCAGAGGCAGCCUGUCUGUGAGUUUGCAGAAUUGAAGUUGAAUCCCCUGAAGUUUGAGGCGAGAUGCCUGCAAUUCUCCGCCUCUGGGCCAGAGACUGGAGGUUGGAGAGCCCAAUAUCUGCAAGUCUGAAAAUGUGGGGCUAAGGAGUCCAGAGGUGACCUAACCUGGUGUUAAGAGGUCUGUCUGUAUGGGUGCUGCCUGGUCUGCUGAGUUCCUGCAGCAUUUUGUGUGUAUUGAUUCGUGUAGUAUGACACUGCUACUGAAACUAAGAAGCCUUUAGGAAAAUACGGAGUGACUGUACCAUCACAAACAAGAGACAAUCUCCAGAUGCUGGAAAUCCAAAGCAACACACACAGCGGGCCAAGCAGCAUCUUUGGAAAAGAGUAAACAGUUGACAUUUUGGGCUGAGCUCCUUCAUCAGACCCUUCCUGAUGAAGGGCCUUGGCGUGAAACAUUGACCAUUAGGUCUUUACAUUGAAGCUGCCUGGCCUGCUGAGUUCCUCCAGCAUUUUGUGUGCGUAACUGUACCACGAUGGCUGGAAAAUGCACUGAAUGACCACGUGCAUAUAGAUAGCCAUGUAAAAAUACAAGUAAUCACAGGAAAAUUAAAUGACAAGAAAAUCAACAAUUCUACACCCUAAUCCAAUAGGUGGCAUCUGUGGAGUGAAAGGGACACUUGAUGUUUCAGGUCGAAAGCCUUCACCAGGUACUGUCUUUGUAGUUCCUUUUAACAUACACUUAUUGACCACUUUAUUAGGUACAUUGACUUGUUAAUGCAAUAUCUAAUCAUCCAAUCAUUUGACAACAACUCAAUGCAGACAUGUUGAAGCUGUUCAGACAUCAGAACGGAGAAGAAAUGUGAUCUAAGUGACUUUGACAGUGGGAUGAUUGUUGGUGCCAGACAGGGUGGUUUGAGUAUCUCAGAAACUGCUGAUCUCCAGGGAUUUUCGUGCACAACAGUCCCUAGAGUUUACAGAGAAUGGAGCAUGAAACAAAAAAGAUCCAGUGAGAGGCAGUUCUGGGAGUGGAAACGCAUUGUUAAUGAACGAGGUCAGAAGAGAGUGGCCAGACGGGUUCAAGCUAACAGGAAGGCGACAGUUACUCAAAUAAACAGGAGUUGCAGCCAUGGUGUGCAGAAGUGCAUUUCUGAAUGUACAACACAUCGGACCUUGAAGUGGAUCGACUACAGCAGCAGAAGACCACACCGGGUUCUUUAGAUGAACCGAACAAAGUGGCCACUGAGUGUAUAUCCACACAGAUAACAUGCUCGAUAUCAAAAUAUUUAAGGUGGAGUAUUUAUAAUUUUCCAAGCAAAUAAUAACAGACCCUGCUAAAGUUUAUAUACGCAUGGAGAUUAGCUCACUGUCUAUACCCAGCACCCUGGUAUCUAGUGGUGGCAUUACUAGGCUUAGUAUCCAACCUUUAUAUGAGAAUAAAAUAGAUUUCUCACUGCCUUCCUCUCCUGGAAAAGCUGCCAGGACUUGGGUGCGGCAGAAAAGUUAUUAAUGAUCUUUGAAGCUAAGCAAAAAAUAGGGCAGGGCACCCUCCAUUUUGCAGGAAAGAAGCAUGUGUUUAUGUGAUUAAAAGCUGAUAAAUUCCUGCUGUGCCAAUGCUGUCAAACUGAUUUCUCUUUGGAUGGUGCAGCACGAGAGAAGGAUUAGUGGAAAAUAAUAUGGUUUAAGAAUUGUUAGUCAUGUAAAUUUAAUAACUGAAUUCUGCAUUCUUCACAAGAACAUGAAAUAACUAACAAAGGAAUGUGCUUAAUGUACUGUGGUGUUUGAGUUCCAGAUGUCUGCUGCUGUAGAGUUUUUUUCGAUAUCAUCAUGUAUUGCAUUGUACUGCUACUGCAAAGUUUACAAAUUUCACGACAUAUGCCAGUGAUAAUUUAACCUGAAUCUGAUUCCAAAUGAUUUCAUUUCCAUAAAGAUUGAGCUGUCGACGAUAUUUUCAAAAGAGGUCCUGGGUAAAAUUUCUAGUGUCAUGCUGAAAUUUCUAAGUUUUUAAACAGAAUAAAAUAUGGGAAAUUAAAACAAAAUUAAAAAUGGAAAAAAUGAAUGAUUUUGACUGCUUUAUGGAAUAUCAAAGUCAGUAUAAUUCCAGUCUCUUAAAGUGCCCUCACAUAAAUUCACAUUAACAAGAAUAAAAUUUUGUGGGCGUAAACAGAGAAUAAUAUAUUUGAUUCCUUACACCCACUAUAUGUCAAGCUAUUACAAAGUGUUUGAAGCAGCUUAACUGAAGCCAAUAGAAGACAUUAGGCCAAGAGGAGGUAGGUUUCAAGGGCUGUCUUAAAGGAACCUUGCAAGGUUUAAAUAAACUGUAUCGUCUGACAUAGAGUAUUCCAAGGACAUCUGGAAACACAGUAAGUUUCAGACCUGUCAUACUAAUCUAUUAGUCAAAGCCAAUGUCAGAGUUGAGUUUAUUGUCAUAUUAAAAAUUAGAUUUUUAAGGACUCACAGUUUACAGUGCCAGUGACCUGGGUUCAAUUCCAGCACUGUCUGUAAGGAGCUUGUACAUGGUGCUGGCGCACUGGUUUCAUCCCACAUUCCAAACGGCAUGUGCAUUAGGGAUAGUAGCUGCAGGCAUGCCAUAUUGGCCCCAGAAGCAUGAUGACUCCUGCGGGCUGCCCCCAGCACAUCCACUGACUCUGUUGGUUAUUGACAUAAAUAAAGCAUUCACUGUGUGUUUCAAUGUGCAUGUGACAAAUAAGAAUCAUCUUUAAUCUCUGUCUUUAACUUACAUAAAGGUAACUUGGUCAUCGUGGAAUCCAUUCUCUCCACAUCCCUCCAUAUCAGAGGGAUCAGAACCUCUGCAUUGGCUGUCCAAAACUUCAGAAUACACAAUUGAACAUCAGCCAACAUAUCCUGUGCUCUUACCUGUAACUAAGAUGGCAAUUUAAAUCCUAUUGACCUGACCCAAUGUUUAUGCAAUAGCAGCAAGGUUUUAUGUCUAUACAAUUACACAGCUGCAGAAUGAUAGAUUAUAUUAUUUAGAUUUAAUUAAGCCUGUUGAAAAACUAUCUCAAUAUUGUAUGUUUAAAGCUGAGAGUGAAAGAUAUUAUUGUUGUUUUAAAAUGUUAAUUUAGAAAUGAUACUUUUUAAUGAUGUUUCUCUAUCUCUGUCUCUGAAGAUCUAUCUUGGGCUCAACAUACUGAAGCAAUUACAAAGAAGACAUGCCAGUGGCUAGAUCUAAUUUUGAGCUUGAGGUGAUUUGGUAUGAAACCAAAGGCUCCAACUAACUUCUACAGAUGUAUGUGGAGGAAGUUUUAACUGGUUGCAUCAUUGUCUGGUAUGAAGGGGGCCAUUAAAAAAGCUGCAGAGGGUUGUAAAUUCAGCCAGAUCAGUCAUGGGUACUCACCUCCCCAGCACCAAGGACAUCUUCAAAAGGUGAUGUCUCAAGAAGGCGGCACCCAUCACGAAGGACACCCCCCACCCAUGAUGUGUCCUCUUCUCAUUACCACCAUCAGAGAGGAGGUACAGUAGCCCGAACACACACUCAACGUUUCAGGAACAGCUUCUUUCCCUCUGCCAUUUCUGAACACACAAUGAACACAAGAACACUACCUCACUAUUUGGGCCAUCUAUUUAUUUAUUUAUUUUCAUUGUAAUUUAUUGUAUAAUAUAUAUUAUCUAUUGCACUGUACUGCUGCUGCAAAAUUAAAAGUUCACAGCUUACUCCCGUGAUAAUCAACCAGAUCCUGAUUCUGAAUCCAAUUUUUUUAUUGAAAGGCAAAUUAACAUAGCUUAAAAUUGGAGCAAAGGUAAAGAGAGAGCCACUUAGCCUGUCGAAUCUGUUCUGCCUUUCCGGGCAUCAUUGGACAUUUAUCAAUCACAGACCAUGCAAGUUCCAAUUGGUCCCCUUCAUUCACAGCAAUUUGUGAAAAAAUAAUGAGUUUGUCAUCCAGCAGAACACUGGAACGAGGGAGUGUUAUAUGAAUGUGUAAAGCUGUUGUCUGCUGAUAACUUGUAGGGCAAAUCUCAUUCCUCCUCUGACACUUAAAAUUGGAUUAUGUCAAAAUAAAAUAAGUCUCUAAUUGUGAGGAAAAGAAUAAAGCAAAGGUGUUUUUGCACUUUUUUUAAUUACUAUUUUUAAAGGAAGGGAAAUGUCUCAUUGUUAAUGGAUGGCAGGAUAACAUUUGCAGAAUAAUGGUGUUUAUAUUAGGGUCAUUUGUUUUACUGACAAACAACACUAUAGUAUCCAUAAGAGUGUCUGCAGCCUGGAGAAGACAUUGUGUGUCUCUUUACUGAAACACCACGUAAAUCAUAUCUAUAAAUCUAAUUAAUAAAUCUGCUACUGAGAAGUUGCUAAUUAACAAACUAUGCUUGUGAAACUACUUACUUUUGCACUGAGCGUUAUGCCUAUUUUCUUGUUUUCUUUCUUCAUGUCCCUCAUCAUUAGUAAAGUCAGUUUUCAAUACUGUUGCCUGGAAUGAACUGACUCAACGUGAUCGCUCUUAAAGGUGGUGAAUCUGUGGAAUUCAUUGCCACAAACAGCUGUGGAAGCCAAGUCAUUGAGUAUAUUUAAAGUGGAGGUUGAUAGGUUCUUGAUUUGAUAAGCAUGUCAAAGGUUACACGAAGAAGGCAGGAAAAUUGGGUUGGGGUGGGUAUAAUAAAUCAACCAUGAUAGAAUGGUGUAACAGACUCGAUGGGCCAAAUGGCCUAA